rnacentral:tRNA from 1 species
UGUAGCUCAGUGGUAGAGAGCUUGCCUAGCACACAGGAAAGCCCUGGGUUCAAUCCCCAGCA